rnacentral:tRNA from 1 species
GGCUCCGUAGCUCAGCCCGGUUAGAGUACUGGACUCUUAAUCCAGGUGUCGCGGGUUCAAAUCCCGUCGGGGCCA